CCUACGGGGGACAGCAGUGAGGAAUAUUGGUCAAUGGACGAGCGUCUGAACCAGCCAAGUAGCGUGAAGGAUGACUGCCCUAUGGGUUGUAAACUUCUUUUAUAUGGGAAUAAAACGUUCCACGUGUGGGAUUUUGUAUGUACCAUAUGAAUAAGGAUCGGCUAACUCCGUGCCAGCAGCCGCGGUAAUACGGAGGAUGCGAGCGUUAUCCGGAUUUAUUGGGUUUAAAGGGUGCGUAGGUGGAUUGUUAAGUCAGUUGUGAAAGUUUGCGGCCCAACCGUAAAAUUGCAGUUGAAACUGGCAGUCUUGAGUACAGUAGAGGUGGGCGGAAUUCGUGGUGUAGCGGUGAAAUGCUUAGAUAUCACGAAGAACUCCGAUUGCGAAGGCAGUUCACUGGACUGCAACUGACACUGAGGCUCGAAAGUGUGGGUAUCAAACAGGAUUAGAUACCCUAGUAGUC
rnacentral:rRNA from 1 species